UACGUAGGGUGCGAGCGUUAAUCGGAAUUACUGGGCGUAAAGCGUGCGCAGGCGGCGCGUUAAGACAGGUGUGAAAGCCCCGAGCUUAACUUGGGAAUUGCGCUUGUGACUGGCGUGCUGGAGUGUGGCAGAGGGAGGUGGAAUUCCACGUGUAGCAGUGAAAUGCGUAGAGAUGUGGAGGAACACCGAUGGCGAAGGCAGCCUCCUGGGCCAGAACUGACGCUCAUGCACGAAAGCGUGGGGAGCAAACAGG
rnacentral:rRNA from 1 species